rnacentral:rRNA from 1 species
AUUGAACGCUGGCGGCAGGCCUAACACAUGCAAGUCGAGCGGAGCGGCGGACGGGUGAGUAAUGCCUAGGAAUCUGCCUGGUAGUGGGGGAUAACGUCCGGAAACGGGCGCUAAUACCGCAUACUAUCAGAUGAGCCUAGGUCGGAUUAGCUAGUUGGGGGGGUAAAGGCCUACCAAGGCGACGAUCCGUAACUGGUCUGAGAGGAUGAUCAGCCACACGGGGAGUGAGACACGGCCCAGACCCCUAGUGGAGGCAGCAGUGGGGAAUACUGCACAAGGGGGGCAAGUGUGAGGCAGCCAUGCCGCGUGUAUGAAGAAGGCCUUAGUGGUGAAAAUUACUUGCAGCGGGGAGGCGUUACCCGCAGAAGAAGCACCGGCUAACUCCGUGCAAGCAGCCGCGGUAAUA